AUUGAACGCUGGCGGCAUGCCUAACACAUGCAAGUCGAGCGAGCGGCGGACGGGUGAGUAAUGUAUGGGGACUGCCCGAUCGACGGGGAUAACUACUGGAACCGUUGGCUAAUACCGCAUACUAUCGGAUAACCCAUAGGGGAUUAGCUAGUAGGGGGGGUAAAGGCUCACCUAGGCGACGAUCUCUAGCUGGUCUGAGAGGAGGAUCAGCCACACUGGUACUGAGAAACGGCCCAGACUCCUACGGAGGCAGCAGUGGGGAAUAUUGCACAAUGGGCGCAAGCCUGAUGCAGCCAUGCCGCGUGUAUGAAGAAGGCCUUAGGGUUGUAAAGUACUUUCAGCGGGGAGGCGUUACCCGCAGAAGAAGCACCGGCUAACUCCGUGCCAGCAGCCGCGGUAAUUC
rnacentral:rRNA from 1 species